rnacentral:rRNA from 1 species
AGAGAUGUGUGAUGACGCAUAUCAAUAAGCGGAGGAAAAGAAACUAACAAGGAUUCCCUUAGUAACGGCGAGUGAAGCGGGAAGGGCUCAAAUUUGAAAUCUUCAAGGUUCUACCUUGACGAAUUGUAGUUUAUAGAAGUGUUUUCUGUUAGUAGAGUGGCAAAAGUUCUUUGGAAUAGGACAUCAUAGAGGGUGAGAAUCCCGUAUUUGGUCAUUCUUUCUAGCUUUGUGAUACACUUUCAACGAGUCGGAUUGUUUGGGAAUGCAGUCCAAAAUGGGUGGUAAAUUUCAUCUAAAGCUAAAUAUUGGCGAGAGACCGAUAGCGAACAAGUACCGUGAGGGAAAGAUGAAAAGAACUUUGAAAAGAGAGUUAAACAGUACGUGAAAUUGUCAAAAGGGAAGCGUUUGACACCAGUGUUGUUUUUCCGAAAAUCAAUUACGAAUGUUUUAUUUUUGAGAAGUUAUGACUUCAUCGGCUUGCUUCUCUCUUUAUGAAACUUUCUUAAUGCACUUUUCGGUUAACAAGUCAACAUCAAUUUCUUUUGUUGUAAAAGGGUAUGAGGAAGGUGGCUUUCUUUUCGGAGAAAGUGUUUAUAGCCUUGUACCUCUGCAAUCGGAGAGAUUGAGGUCUGCAGCGUAGAUCCUUCGGGGUUAGAUACGUUUGUGCUAAGUUAUAGCUUUUCAUAGACAACUUGUUGACUAUGUUAAGUCUUGUAGCUUACUCGCUUAUGCUAUUUUACCUACGCUUAGGAUGUUGACGCAUGAGAUAUACGC